AGGACCAAAGAAAGGUUCCAGCAGGUAUUAUUAUUUUUAUGUUAUUUGUUUUCUGGAAUUAUGGACAAUGCUUGCAUUUGAUUAGUUUAGAUUUUUUGGAAAAAUAAUAAGAAAUAAGUAAAUAAAUAAUGAAAAGAAUAACAUGUUCAAGUUUAUAACUAACUGAGAUGGAGGAGCUAAACUACUGGAUUAUUAGGCAUUGACCAUAAAAACAAAUUUACAUGCAUGAAAAAGGAGAAAGAAGCCUAGUAUAGUCUAACUUAUGGAGGAUAUUUUUUGCAACUUAGAUUUUGUGUCUAUCAUAGAGGUACUAGUGAUGCACUUGUUUCUAAUUUAAUACCCAAAAAAAAUGUUUAUGGUUCUCCUUGCAAUAGUGUGGGCUUGGGGCUGACACUGGUGUGCAAAAGGAUGUGUUUGUGUUUGUGUGUGUGU
rnacentral:misc_RNA from 1 species